UACGGAGGGGGCUAGCGUUGUUCGGAAUUACCGGGCGUAAAGGGCGCGUAGGCGGCCACCGCAAGUCGGUUGUGAAAUCUCUGGGCUUAACCCAGAAAGGUCAACCGAUACUGCGGGGCUAGAGUGCAGAAGGGGCAACUGGAAUUCUCGGUGUAGCGGUGAAAUGCGUAGAUAUCGAGAGGAACACCUGCGGCGAAGGCGGGUUGCUGGGCUGACACUGACGCUGAAGCGCGAAAGCUAGGGGAGCGAACGGG
rnacentral:rRNA from 1 species